rnacentral:lncRNA from 1 species
AGGGACUAAGAGGCAAAGGAGUGGACCCCAAAGAAAUACUCAGGCUCUUGCUAGGACAAAGGGAAAGAAAUAGAUGCCAGUGAGAUAGACCAGAUUUUUUCAGCUUUGUGGGCAGCACGAGAGAAAGAAUAGUAGGUUAGGGGAGGACAAGAUGACGAGUCCAGAUUAGAAGGUGUUGUGUUUGCAGGCUCUGUGGUGCAAGCAGAGGAGAUGGUCAGCAGGCAGUCGGGUAGAGAGAGACCCAUGCUGGAGAGGGAUCUGGAAUUGCCAGUGUGUAGGUGGUGAGUGAGAAGCUGAAGAAGACAAUAAUGAUGCAGACUUUGGAAACCAUUCUGGACUCCCUGCUUCAGGAACUGCAAGUUUGAUCUAGUAAAAGUCUCUUGCUUUCUUUGCUCUUUAGGAUUAGGCAGUGGAACAGUCCUUGUGAUCCUGAAGUUAGCAACGCCCUAGCCUCCUUCUUUCAACACCAGCUCUCACUUCUUGUCUUAGAUUGCUUUGCACCUUCCUGUCCCUUAAUUGAUGUCAGGACCUGAAUAUAUUUGAUAGUGAUUUGAAGCACUGAUGCUACAAAUGAAAGAGAUUGAUGCUGGGCCCUGGGACCAGGACAUGUGACAGAGCCAGAGUCCUUCAGGGCUGAUGGGCAUGUGCUAGGACUGACACAGGCUAGCAUCUCCCGAGAAGACGUAAGGACAAGCAACUCCAAAUGGGGAUGACAUUGAUGACUCUUCCACCUCUCCUGGUAACCUUCCCAUGCCCAUCAUGUCGUUGCACCUCUGACAGUACUAGGAGAGGUGCCAAAAUGAGGGACAGUACUUGGGAGGACACCAAAAUGGGGGAAAGUUUGUGAAAUGUUGCAAUGGGAGAAAGGAACUCAGUGGCCCAUGUAAAUCUUGGAUAUGUUUGAGAUGUGGCAUUGCCUGUCUCUGUGUCUUCACAAGGAUAAUAAGCUUCUCCAGUGUUACUGUAAGCCAGUGUGAUCCCUAUCUUCAUUAAUUUUUGCCUGGAAACUCCUGGCCCAUGACUAUUGUAAAAAGUCCUGGCAAAGUGUGCCUAGCCAACAUCCACUCUCCUCUACUUCCUUACUAUCAAAACCUUGCAUUUGUUUAGGAUGGCAAUGUGCCAACUAGAAAAGCCACACUUGACCGGGCAUGGUGGCUCAAGCCUGUAAUCCCAGCACUUUGGGAGGCCAAGCUAAGAGGCAACAUACAUGGCUGGACAGUGAGAUUGUGUUAAUGUGGAUUAUUCCUCCACAAAUAUGCAUUCUUCUCCUCUCCAUUGUGAAUAGAGUGUAAGUACUUACGCGUUGAUGUUGAGCUUAGUAACAUGACUUCCUUUGGAAUGUUAGUGGAAGGAAUAAGCAGAAACCUUUUAUUUGCUUGCAUAGUUUGGUUUCCUUCUUUUCAUGAUUCACCAUUAGAAGAACCCACCCAGGUAAUCACUGCUUGCUCGGAUCCCAGCAAAUUCUAGAUCCCAGAACUAGUGCUCUUAGAGCCAAGGCCAGCCGAUCCAAGUCUGGACUACUGCUCAGAUGAGCCGAGCCUGAAUUUGGGAGUGGUUGUUACAGAGCAUUACCCUGGCAAUAACUGACUGAUGCAGAGAUGUAAAUAGACAUCACUGGUGGAGCCCCCAGGAAAGCUCUUUAACAGAAGACAGACUCAGCUGGCAGGUUUCCCGUCUCCUUGAAUGAAGACAGGCUCAAUGCUUGGAGGGGUGAGAGGAGGCAGCCAUCUUACAACCACAGGUCACAGGAAGACACUAAACAAGGCCGUGUGGAAAGACAGAAGGAGCCUCCAUCCCUCAGCACCACAGAGACAUUGUAUCAGCCUAGAAAUGCCUAAAUCUGAACUUCCUCUUACCUAAGAAAAAUAAAACCUCAAUUUGAUUCAAUCACUGUUUUACAGGUUUCUGCUACUUCUGAUAUAAUUCCUGAUAGAUAGCCAGGCACAGUGGCUCACCUUAUAAUCCCAGCACUUUGGGAGGCUGAGGCAGUCAGAUUACCUUAGGUCAUUAUUUCGAGACCAGCCUGGACAACAUGUUGAAACCUUGUCUCUAUUAAAAAUACAAAAGUUAGCUGGGCAUGGUGGCAGGAGCCUGUAAUCCCAGCUGCUCAGGAGACUGAGGCACGAGAAUCACUUGAACCCGGGAGGCGGAGGUUGCAGUGAGCCGAGAUCACAUCACUGCACUCCAGCCUGGGUGACAGAGUGAGACUCUGUCUCAAAAAAAAAAAAAAAAAAAUUCCUGAUAGACACAGCUAACUAUUGGUAUUAACGCCACAACUGGCCAGGCAUGGUGGCUUACACCUGUAAUCCCAGCACUUUGGGAGCCCAAGGUGGGCAGAUCACCUGGAGUCAGGAGUUCAAGACCAGCCUGGCCAAAAUGAUGAAACCCUGUCUCUACUAAAAAUAUAAAAAAUAAAAAAUAGCCAGGUGUAGUGAUGGGCACCUGUAAUCCCAGCUACUCAGGAGGCUGAGGCAGGAGAAUCACUUGAACCUACGAGUCGGAGGUUGCAGUGAGCCAAGAUCACCCCAUUGCACUCCAGCCUGGGUGACAAGAGUGAAACUCCAUCUCAAAAAAUAAUAAUAAAAUAAAGCCACACCCGUGUUUGAGAUCCCCCAGGAAAAGCAUGAAGGGUCACAAGCAGGUCUCAUGGAAUCCUGGGGAAUGUGACUUAAGAAUGCUGGAGAAGAAGCCCAGAGAAGUGAUUGAGAAGCAGGGAGAGUAGAUGGAGAACCCAGAUGUGUGGUGGCCACAGGCCACAAGAGGAGAGUAUCUCAACAAGAGACAGGGACAGACCAGGCCAAAUGCAGCAGUGAGAUUCAGGCACAUGAGGAAGAAAACUUUUCAAAGGAUUUAGUAAAUGAGAGGUCCCUGACCUUGGCAGGAAAGGUUUAGUUCAGGGCUGGGGACAGAAGCCAAACCACACAGCCCUUUGCAGAAUCCCAGCCCUCUGCAGCUCCCUCCGUGGGGGAUGGACGCUUGAGGAAGGAUGAUGCAAUGGGAGGAAACCACUGCUUGGCCAGCUGCAACCUUGUCCUCACUGCACAGACCAUUUCUCCUCUUUGCCUCCAAGAUGAAAUCUAAACUCAGCUUGGCAUCCAACCCUUGAAGAUGUGGACCCAGCCAGGCUGUGGCCUCCCCUGCCCAGCCUCCCUUCUCCAUAUUGUAGGAUCCCCCCUCCCCCCAUUCCUGGCCUCCAUGUCCACCCUUGGACUGCCCUCCCCUGCUCCACAGACUAUCUGGAGCCUACUCAGCCUUCUGAGGUGGCACAAAUGUCACCCCCUCUAAUGAAGACAAGGUCACUCCUUUAUCUGGGCUCCUUGCACCUCUCUGUAUCUGCCUUGAAUUAUAUUGGCCAGAUUCAAGUGGGAUUUGCUCCCCAGGGUGGGGACAGUGUCUGUGUUUUCCGUUCCCCACAGGGCAGAGCACACCGGUCUGGCAUGAGCAGGAGCCAGUAGCCUUGUUGGGUGGCUAUGGUGUGCCCUGCAAGAGUUUCCCAGGCCAGGGAUACCAAGUGGGCAUCUUCAGGGCCAUGUCUAUCUCCUUCCACUCCUACAGACCUGGCUUUAGAGAGCUCAGGAAGGAAGCAGAACAAUCAACAGAGACACGUGAGGGCUUUCUUCUUCCCCUCUCCUCUCUGGAGGCUUCCCAGAGGGCAGCUGCUUCCUUUCUCUCUUGUUUUAGAACAAGAAGACAUGAUUGUGACCAAAUUUAGAAAACAACCAAAAAUUCAAAUUCAACCCAUAUUUUAAAAUCCAUUUCAACAGCUCCACCCCACUAAAAGGAAUGUCACUUCUGAGCAACGUGGGUGAGGAAUCAGCAGCCGAAGUAGCAGCAAGGUGGGCUGUGGUGUCAUGGAUUUGGGGUCUGAGGGCUGGGGAGGGAAGAGGUCUUCCCACCAAGGACAGACAAACCCACCCCACCCGCAAAUGGGAGGGAUGAUGAGGGAGAGCAGAGCCAGGCAUGAGAGCAGAUGGGCCCACAUUCAAGGAAGUAUCUUCUUGGCUUCUUGUUUCUGCCAAUAGCUGGAAAGGAUGGAUGCUUCUGGAAGCCACCUCAGAGACCAACCACAGCGGAUGGGCCCUCCUUAGCACAGAGCUACUUUUAGCCCAUUGUUCUACUGUGGGGAACAGAGGGAAACCCAGGGAACGAAACAAACAGUGUCACCUGCCUUCUGUAGUAAUAGUAACCAGGUAUGGGAUGUGUCGUGUGUGCCAGGUGCUAUAGCUAGGAGGCUUUUUAAAAAUAUUGUUUCCAGGAAUUCUACAUGAGUCAUGUUGCCUCAGAGAUUUUUAUGAGGGAAAAAAAGGUCUUUAUGAGCCAGAAUGAAAGAGAUUAAUUUGUCAGGAACAAAUGUAAAAGUUUGCUUUGCAAGCAUGGCAUUCAAGGGGCAGUUCUGAUAAAGCAUCAGGAAUGCUGCUGUGUCCUCUGGCCACCAUAAUAGAGAUAAAGGGUCCAGAAUAAAGGAGGCUCUCAUCUCACUGAACUUGGUUCCCG